rnacentral:rRNA from 1 species
CCUACGGGUGGCAGCAGUGGGGAAUAUUGGGCACUGGGCGCAAGCCUGACCCAGCAACGCCGCGUGAGGGAAGAAGGCUUUCGGGUUGUAAAAUUCUUUUCUCCGGGACGAAACAAGUGACGGUCCCUGAGGGAUAAGCCACGGCUAACUACAUGCCAGCAGCCGCGGUAAUACGUACGUGCCAAGCGUUCUCCGGAUUUACUGGGUGUAAAGGACUUGUAGGCGGGACUGCAAGUCCGAGGUGAAAAGCACGGGCUCAACCGGUGGCCUGCCGUUGAAACUGUAGUUCUUGAGUACUGGAGAGGCAGACGGAAUUCCUAGUGUAGCGGUGAAAUGCGUAGAUAUUAGGAGGAACACCAGUUGCGAAGGCGGUAUGCUGGACACAAACUGACGCUGAGGCGCGAAAGCGUGGGGAGCAAACAGGAUUAGAUACCCCAGUAGUC